GUGUGCUUCUUACCCUGAGUUGCCAUUGACAAAGGGCCUGAAAAAAUAUGAUUUCCCUCUGUUUCCCAACAGAAGCACAGAAUCAGGGGCUUUAGUGAGAGGGCUAGCAGCCAGAAUUGGGGAUGGAUAGAGCAAUGAUGAAGGCACAGGUAGACGGCACAGGUCCCCAGUUCUCUUCACAGUCAUGUAUCCUUUCUGCAAUUUUCUAGUGGCAGCUUCUGCAGAGAAAGAGAAACCAGCAGCCAGGCUCCUGGUGCCAGCUUUUCCAAGGCUGGGCCUCAAGAUGCCUGCAUGUUUCUACCUGUGCCCUUGCGCCUCUGCUGCCACCAUGAGAAGCACCUGCCAGCUGGCUUCAGGAAAAGAAUGAUACCCCCUGGAGAAGAGCCAUCCACAGCCAAGUCCAACCUGGGUCAGUCCAACCCCCACCAGCCCAGGCACCUGCAUGAGAUCAGCCUUACAGAGCCUGCCUACAGCUCUGUGGUAAUCACGGAUGGUUGUUUUAAGCCAUCAAGCUUCCAUGUGGCUUCUUAAUAUCCCCGAGGCUCAGUAACCUCAUUUUGACAAGAUGUAUUUAACAACUUCUAAAAUGUCAAACGUUGUUUCAGAUGCUUUACUUGAAGUAAUUCAUUUAAUCCCUGUAACAACCACAUGAGGUAGGUAUUAUCAUUAAAUCCAUUUGAUGGGUAAGUAAAC
rnacentral:lncRNA from 1 species